rnacentral:rRNA from 1 species
AUCGAACGCUGGCGGCAGGCCUAACACAUGCAAGUCGAGCGAGCGGCGGACGGGUGAGUAAUGUAUGGGGACUGCCCGAUAGAGGGGGAUAACUACUGGAAACCGUGGCUAAUACCGCAUACUAUCGGAUAACCCAUAUGGGAUUAGCUAGUAGGUGGGGUAAAGGCUCACCUAGGCGACGAUGUCUAGCUGGUCUGAGAGGAGGAUCAGCCACACUGGGACUGAGACACGGCCCAGACUCCUACGGAGGCAGCAGUGGGGAAUAUUGGACAAUGGGCGCAAGCCUGAUGCAGCCAUGCCGCGUGAAUGAAGAAGGCGUUCGGGUUGUAAAGUUCUUGCAGUAGGGAGGCGUUACCGACAGAAGAAGCACCGGCUAACUCCGUGCCAGCAGCCGCGGUAAUAC